ACUGAAUACAUAGGUUAACAGAGCAAACCGGGGGAACUGAAACAUCUAAGUACCCCGAGGAGAAGAAAUCAACCGAGAUUCCGGUAGUAGCGGCGAGCGAACCUGGAUUAGCCCUUAAGCACUCGGUGAAGUAGGUGAACAAGCUGGAAAGCUUGGCGAUACAGGGUGAUAGCCCCGUAACCGACGCUUCAUCGAGCGUGAAAUCGAGUAGGGCGGGACACGUGAUAUCCUGUCUGAAUAUGGGGGGACCAUCCUCCAAGGCUAAAUACUCCUGACUGACCGAUAGUGAACCAGUACCGUGAGGGAAAGGCGAAAAGAACCCCUGUGAGGGGAGUGAAAUAGAACCUGAAACCGUGUACGUACAAGCAGUAGGAGCACCUUCGUGGUGUGACUGCGUACCUUUUGUAUAAUGGGUCAGCGACUUAUAUUCAGUGGCAAGGUUAACCGUAUAGGGGAGCCGUAGCGAAAGCGAGUCUUAACUGGGCGCUCAGUCUCUGGAUAUAGACCCGAAACCGGGUGAUCUAGCCAUGGGCAGGUUGAAGGUUGAGUAACAUCAACUGGAGGACCGAACCGACUAAUGUUGAAAAAUUAGCGGAUGACUUGUGGCUAGGGGUGAAAGGCCAAUCAAACUCGGAGAUAGCUGGUUCUCCCCGAAAGCUAUUUAGGUAGCGCCUCGGACGAAUACUACUGGGGGUAGAGCACUGUUAAGGCUAGGGGGUCAUCCCGACUUACCAACCCUUUGCAAACUCCGAAUACCAGUAAGUACUAUCCGGGAGACACACGGCGGGUGCUAACGUCCGUCGUGGAGAGGGAAACAACCCAGACCGCCAGCUAAGGUCCCAAAGUAUUGCUAAGUGGGAAACGAUGUGGGAAGGCUCAGACAGCUAGGAUGUUGGCUUAGAAGCAGCCAUCAUUUAAAGAAAGCGUAAUAGCUCACUAGUCGAGUCGGCCUGCGCGGAAGAUGUAACGGGGCUAAGCAAUACACCGAAGCUGCGGCAAUAUCUUUUAGAUAUUGGGUAGGGGAGCGUUCUGUAAGCCGUUGAAGGUGAAUCGUAAGGUUUGCUGGAGGUAUCAGAAGUGCGAAUGCUGACAUGAGUAACGACAAAGGGGGUGAAAAACCUCCUCGCCGGAAGACCAAGGGUUCCUGUCCAACGUUAAUCGGGGCAGGGUGAGUCGACCCCUAAGGUGAGGCCGAAAGGCGUAAUCGAUGGGAAACGGGUUAAUAUUCCCGUACUUCUGACUAUUGCGAUGGGGGGACGGAGAAGGCUAGGUGGGCCAGGCGACGGUUGUCCUGGUUCAAGUGCGUAGGCUUGAGAGUUAGGUAAAUCCGGCUCUCUCUAAGGCUGAGACACGACGUCGAGCUGCUACGGCAGUGAAGUCAUUGAUGCCAUGCUUCCAGGAAAAGCCUCUAAGCUUCAGAUAGUCAGGAAUCGUACCCCAAACCGACACAGGUGGUCGGGUAGAGAAUACCAAGGCGCUUGAGAGAACUCGGGUGAAGGAACUAGGCAAAAUGGUACCGUAACUUCGGGAGAAGGUACGCUCUUGAUGGUGAAGUCCCUCGCGGAUGGAGCUGACGAGAGUCGCAGAUACCAGGUGGCUGCAACUGUUUAUUAAAAACACAGCACUGUGCAAAAUCGCAAGAUGACGUAUACGGUGUGACGCCUGCCCGGUGCCGGAAGGUUAAUUGAUGGGGUUAGCGCAAGCGAAGCUCUUGAUCGAAGCCCCGGUAAACGGCGGCCGUAACUAUAACGGUCCUAAGGUAGCGAAAUUCCUUGUCGGGUAAGUUCCGACCUGCACGAAUGGCGUAAUGAUGGCCACGCUGUCUCCACCCGAGACUCAGUGAAAUUGAAAUCGCUGUGAAGAUGCAGUGUACCCGCGGCUAGACGGAAAGACCCCGUGAACCUUUACUACAGCUUGGCACUGAACAUUGAACCUACAUGUGUAGGAUAGGUGGGAGGCUAUGAAGACGUGACGCCAGUUGCGUUGGAGCCGUCCUUGAAAUACCACCCUUGUAUGUUUGAUGUUCUAACUUAGACCCAUUAUCUGGGUUGAGGACAGUGCCUGGUGGGUAGUUUGACUGGGGCGGUCUCCUCCCAAAGAGUAACGGAGGAGCACGAAGGUGGGCUAAUCACGGUUGGACAUCGUGAGGUUAGUGCAAUGGCAUAAGCCCGCUUAACUGCGAGAAUGACGGUUCGAGCAGGUGCGAAAGCAGGUCAUAGUGAUCCGGUGGUUCUGUAUGGAAGGGCCAUCGCUCAACGGAUAAAAGGUACUCCGGGGAUAACAGGCUGAUACCGCCCAAGAGUUCAUAUCGACGGCGGUGUUUGGCACCUCGAUGUCGGCUCAUCACAUCCUGGGGCUGAAGUCGGUCCCAAGGGUAUGGCUGUUCGCCAUUUAAAGUGGUACGCGAGCUGGGUUUAGAACGUCGUGAGACAGUUCGGUCCCUAUCUGCCGUGGGCGUUGGAAGAUUGAAGGGGGCUGCUCCUAGUACGAGAGGACCGGAGUGGACGAACCUCUGGUGUUCGGGUUGUGUCGCCAGACGCAUUGCCCGGUAGCUAAGUUCGGAAUUGAUAAGCGCUGAAAGCAUCUAAGCGCGAAGCGAGCCCUGAGAUGAGUCUUCCCUGACAGUUUAACUGUUCUAAAGGGUUGUUCGAGACUAGAACGUUGAUAGGCAGGGUGUGUAAGCGUUGUGAGGCGUUGAGCUAACCUGUACUAAUUGCCCGUGAGGCUUAACCA
rnacentral:rRNA from 1 species